rnacentral:ncRNA from 2 species
GCUCCGCAUCAAGAGUUGGGGUAGACGCCCCGACGCCAACCUGCCGAUCCGGGCAAGGUGGCGCUCCGCAAGGAGGAUGUGGCCGAUCCGGCAACCAAACGGACACGG